CAGAUUUUGUUCUUCAACCCUUGGCCAGAUAUCAUAUUUAAAGGAGGGUUGAAUCCUAUCAACAGAACACCACAGGUAUUAAAAGGUACAAAGAUGGAGAUUAAACUGCAAACAUGGCAACGUUCCUCUUUCCUCUCUAAUACAACUAAACCCCCCUUCUGUUGAAAUCCAUUGCUUCAGUGUAUAAGGCUGUCCCACAUGAUCAGAGGAGGGGGUUUGCUAAUAUCUCUCUUUAUUGAUCAGAGGACGGUCAGCAUGAACAAAUGGUGCUAUUAGUGGAACAAGGGUCUCCAACACAGUGAAAUAACAGACUUCACAUCAAUUCAGCCAGUCAAUCAACUUGACACUCCACCAGUCAACCUCCCUUCAGUUCCCAUGUCUGUAUGCCCUGUUCCAUUCUCAUGUCACCAGGAAACAGCCUUGUCUUUGUAUGCAGCCGCAAUAGUUAGACAGAUGAGGGGGGUUGCGCCCUAUGUUGAGGGAAUAAAAGGCUGUGUGCAUUUGCUUCAGAAAAUCCAUCAUAUUGUGGUCCACUAUAAAAGGUACACUAAAAAAAAGCUGCUCACAAACAAGCUAAAAGAUCUAAUUAGGAUAAGUCUGUUUGUCAAAAUUUAAUUGCAAUAUAGUGAAAUAUGUCAUAAUCGGUGAACUGUGGUGUUUUAUAAGCUCGGUUGUGAUUGAAAGUUUCUUUAUGUGUAAGUUAAUUAUCAGCAGAUUUAUUUAGAGGGGAGAAAAUGCGCCCAAACAAACUUGUUGGACACAAAUUGUAAAAUCACCAUCCAUUUGUAACAGUUUGACAUACACAGUGAAGCCAUUUCAGCUCCACCAUUUGUUAAAUGUUUCUGAGAAUAACUGCAAUAAGUUCAGUUCCACCAGCUGUAUAUUGGUUCAGAGGGAAGAUCAAUAAUCAGGUUUUUAUUAUCGUGUGGCCUAGACCUUGCUGAGUAUUUUACACUGAAAUAUGACAGUUUAAGAUCAUCAGUAAAGGGUUUAGCUACAAUUUUCCUUUUACAAACAAUGUGAAUAUGUUUUUUUUUUCAGUGGGACUUUUAAUUUGAAGUUAAUACACAGUUUAACAUUGGAACCAAACCAACAGUUUGUAUAUGUAUUGAUAAUUACCCUCAUUCAUGCAACAUGCGCAGAACAACUUUGUGUGCAAACUGAUCACAUAGGAAGAUUAUCGGGUGUUUAGAGAUGUAUAUAAACUUUGAGUAAGUCGUAGACAAAAGGACAAGCAGCUUUACCUACAGCACACAGUGAAGGUUGUGUCUUUCAAAUGUUCCAGAUAAUAAUGAUAAUAAUAAUAAUAAUAAUAUAUUUUACUUGUAGUACCCUUUACAUCAAGCAACCUCAAAGGGCUGCAUCUUAAAAGGAAAGAAAUUUCACAGUAAAUGAAUACAAAAACAGGUUAUUGGUUAAAAAACAAGAGAAACAUCUCAUUAAAAGAGUAAAAGCAAGAUAAGCAUUUUUUUAAAGAAUCUAUGAGGAGGGACUAAAUGUCCAUUUAGUGCGAGUACUUUCAUGAAUGUGCAAUUUUGAUGCAAAGAAGUUAAUUCAGCACUUGCUUUGCACCUUACCGAAGCUUUAAAUAGAUUGUUUUUUUUUUUUCUUGUUUUUUUUUUACUGCAUGUAAAUUUAAUGAUGACUAUGCAAAUCCAGGUAUUUGAUGAUGCACACAGAUAGACAGUGUCAUUACAGUGAGGAGGGGGCAAGAUUACAGACACAUAUUCUGCUUCAAAGGCAUUUAACAUGGCCUGUUUGGGGGUGUUUUUCUUCAUCUCCAUUCAUGAUUAAACAUAUUUACAUUGAUCAAAACUGACAUUUAUGUCCUCUUACUUUUCUUAUACUUUAUCUUACAUGAGUGUUUUCUCUUUCACAGGUUGUAUGUCCUUGUCUCCUGUGUGCGCUUGUCUCCUCUGGUGCACUCCUCCCCCUCCUCCACAAUACCCAGGCUGCUCCGCUGUGGGACCUCGAGGAUGAAGGGACCUCAUCCCUGUAUGUACCUUAUUGUUGUCUCUUUGCGGGCAUUUAUGGCCGUUUUCAGACCUCAUACUGAGCUGAUGGGCAGUCUGGAGAGUGCGACAGUACCUUGUGUCACAGAGGACACAGCUGACACCACGUGCACAGUGGAUGACAAUCCAUCUUUAAGAGCUGCAGACUGUUUUUAGUUCGUACAUCACUGUUACCCCGCAGGGUGUCUGUUGACCUGGGAUGAAUUGAGAGAUGGGUUGUGGAUGAUUUUUUUCCUUUGAGUUUCUUGAUGUCUUGGGACCUGUCGAGUCUCCGAGUCUGUCCGAGUCCAGGGGAGCUUGAGGUCUGAAAGCUUGUGACUUAUCUUGUUUUCAGGUCAACUGAUGAAAAAUAUUAUCUGUUUGACUUGUUGAUUUUAAACAGUUUUAAUCUCUGUUUCAUUUCCAAGAUAUCUCCUU